AAGCUUACAUCACAAUUUCCAUAACCAUUUAUAUCAUCUUGUGCUUAUCACAUAUAAUAAGUAAAAUAGAUAUUUUCAAAUUCAUCUCAUCCUAUUCAAUCUAACCUGAGUUAACCUAACUCGGGGCUAUGCAGUGUCAGUGUGGAUUUCUUAAAACAACUUUAAAAUCGAAAACUUUAAAAUUCAAAGCUUUAAAAUCAAAAUCUUUGAUCUUUAAACCAUGCUCUGAUA
rnacentral:lncRNA from 1 species